UACGGAGGGAGCUAGCGUUGUUCGGAAUUACUGGGCGUAAAGCGCGCGUAGGCGGCUUUGUAAGUUAGAGGUGAAAGCCUGGAGCUCAACUUCAGAAUUGCCUUUAAGACUGCAUCGCUUGAAUCCGGGAGAGGUGAGUGGAAUUCCGAGUGUAGAGGUGAAAUUCGUAGAUAUUCGGAAGAACACCAGUGGCGAAGGCGGCUCACUGGACCGGCAUUGACGCUGAGGUGCGAAAGCGUGGGGAGCAAACAGGG
rnacentral:rRNA from 1 species